UUGGGUUAGCCUGUGUGGUAUAAAAGGCUGCCUUGCGAAUGAGAUUCUCUCAGUCAUUGGUCUCCUCAGCCAGGAGUGACUCUGCACUCACCAAGAGCUCGUCAGUUAAACAAAAUAGUAUCAGCAGAGUUGGGAAAAGGAAAGGUUGAUGAAGUUAAAAGUGACAAGCUGGUGAUCACAACUGAUGGUAACUCUGAGUGAUGUUCUGUAACUGCUAGAAAAACCAGACUGAACAGACAUGAUCAUUCGAUUGGGUAGACUGACUCCUGGAUACUUUCGGCUUCUGCAGAGACAAAUUGCAGGAGAGGUUGAAACACAGCAAAAAGACAGAAUGGUUAACCACAUUGCUAUGUUGUUAGCAAUUGUUGGACUUGGUCUGUCAUACUACAGUUCCCGAAGAAUGGCCAGACAAGCUAAUGGAAACCAAAUUCCUUAAAUCGCCUAAGUUGAAUACUGAAGGGAGAAUGGUACAGAAGUGUUGGAAGACUGUAAAAAUAGGAAACAGUAACUAGUCAGAUUCUUGCAAACACCAUAAUAGGUAAGGCUGAUCACUGAAAGCAAGAAGAUUCAAGAAUGAGCAAGGACCAAUUAUAAUAACUUUUGAUCUCUACUUUUACCAUGUGUAGCCAAAAAAACUUCAUUGUAAACUUCAUUUACUAAACAAGAGUACAUAAAGUGGCAAUUCUGUCAGUGAAACAUGAAGUAAUGAAAUAUGGUGGGAAGAGGUGCCAAAUUUUCACAAAAUCUGAUAAUGAAACUAUUCUUAGAGAUGGAGUCUUAUUUGUAGCUACUCAUUAACUAAAAGAGAUAAUGGCCUGUCAUGCCUAUGACCACACCAGGACAUGAACCCAGCAGGGCAGCAGCAACAAUAACUAUUUUCCUACCAUGCUAUCCUCAGGCUAUGUGUCCUUGAUCCUGGAAAAUGUUUGUUAACAAUUUCGAAAUGAAACACAUUGCACAUAGGUGGGCAUUUAAAUUAAAAUACACAUGAACAUAUAGUAGAUAUGUUUUGGAUUUUUUUUCUAUUGAUUACUUAAUUGUUACUAUAGUUAAGAAUUCUUACAAAAUACCAAUAUAAAAUUACGUAAGUGGUUAGAGAUGUAUGUUUCUUAAUUCAUAUUUUAUCAUGUUUUAGCAGACAAUGUUGUAUUCUCAUUUGUCUCUCCCACAGCCCUUUCAAAAGAUCGCCCUUCUCAAGUAAAGGAAGUUUUUUUAAUAUUUCGUACUUCCUUUGUCAUGCAUUUAUACAGAACUUUUCAUGAAAAUCCACAUUGCAGGGCAUCUGUACAAUAUAUCAUGAUGAACAUUGUUACAUUUGAAACAUUGGCAGCUUAACUGACAUGCGUAGAUUCACACAAUACACCAGCAGUGGCUUUAAAAACCUGCAACCAUAUGAAUUAUGUUUUACGUCUAGAACCUGUAAGUCUCACAUCAGUGCUUAUGUAUUCCAUAUAUUUUACUGGGAGCAACUCAUUGUUAAGUUUAAGAAAUUCAUUUUGACAAACUGCAUGCAUUUAUUGAAGCUAGGCUUCAAACCCAGGUGGUUUCUGAAACACUGGAUCUCACAACAUUUGGGAUUCUCUAAUACAUUAGUAAAAUACAAAGUAAUUCCUUUUGAAUAGCAGUCGUAAGUGUUGUAUUUUUCUAAUGAGAUGGAUUUAUUUAGAUAUUUUAAUAUAUAUAAUCCUACAACUUAAUGUAAUUUAAACAUUUAUUUAAUUUUAUGCUUAGGGUAUAUGUCCUUGCAGGUAAAAUAUGUUUUGUUUUAAGCUUUGGUAAGGAAUGAGCAGAUGACCAAGUUAAGAGUUUAGCUGAAUAUAUGAGAAAUUUAAACAAAUGAAAGGAAUAAUAUAAAAAAGAGCUACAUUGCAGUAGAAUAAAAAAAUAUUUUAAAGGUCUGAAUCAGAGGUUGCUUCAUUUGUAACCAUCAUUCUUAAUGUUCAUUUCCUUGUCUGAUAUGUAACAUGGUUUUUAUUUUUGGCAAAAUGUUAUUUAUAAGUUGGGGAUGACUUCUGUUAACAAAAAGAAAGGGUGCAAUAAUAAAAGUCUAUCUAAACAAAGGAGUUGGAAAAGCAGAA